rnacentral:lncRNA from 1 species
AAGGGACUAAUUGUAAACAGGAUCGACCGGCGUGGUGCAGAGUAGUGGCAUCUGAUCUUGUUGAGAUGGAAAGUUAGGAUUUUGUUUUCCCAUAUAUAUCUCUCUCUCUCUCUCUCUCUCUGUGUCUCAGCUGUAUGCUUAAAUGAUGUUUGUAUUAUUGAUGAGGUAUUUGGGUUUCUUUUACGCUUUUGGGAGAGAUGAUGCUCUACUGGGUUGUGACAUAUAAAGUCACCAUUUCAAUCUGAAAACUAUUUGGUUUUUUGCUAAAGGAUAAACCUUUAUAUAUAGGUAUGAGUUUCAAUUGAUAAGGCUUCCAUCACCCAACCAUUCUGCCCCAUUUAAAAAUUUGGGUUGAUGUCAGCCUGUCUAUGUAAUUCUCGUUUUCAUUUAAAAUAAGAAAGAGAGAGAGAGAGAGAGAGAGAAAGAUCCACCACAUUGGCAACUCAUUCAUUUAGACUGAUUUGGCUUGUCAAGAAAUGUUAGAUGAUUCGUUUGGAUAAGCAGGACCAGUUGACAUAUACAUAUAAAGAGACUGUCAAUUUUGAGUUUCAAAUUUGUUAAUUGGUCUUGUACUUUUAAGAUAAGCAAAUCGAUAUAUAUAUAUAUAUAUAUAUAUAGAGAGAGAGAGAGAGAGAGAGAGAGAGAGAGAUCGUGUGUAGAUUAAUAAAUUAUAACAUGUUUAUUAAGUAGAUUAUAUAUGUUAUAUAUGAACAGAUUCUGUUUUUAAACAUAAUCCUUGCCAUUUUACUCCUCUAACAUGUUCAAACUUGAUUCAUCUGUUUUUUUUUUUUUUUUCUUUUUGGACCUCUGCUAACAAAGUUCUCUUUUAUUAUAUACUUAUAAAAGGAGACACGGGUGAGAAGCUACGAGCAGAAUUGGUUUUUUCUCCUUUUUCUAUUUUGGUUAAAGAGGAAUAAUAAUAUAUACAUAUAUACACCCAUACACACACACACACACACACGUAUAAAGGAUAAAAGAUGAGUUGAAU